GGAGGAAUAUUGGUCAAUGGCCGAGAGGCUGAACCAGCCAAGUAGCGUGCAGGACGACGGCCCUACGGGUUGUAAACUGCUUUUGCCGGGGGAUAACGGGCGCCACGCGUGGCGCCGUGAAGGUACCCGGAGAAUAAGCAUCGGCUAACUCCGUGCCAGCAGCCGCGGUAAUACGGAGGAUGCGAGCGUUAUCCGGAUUUAUUGGGUUUAAAGGGUGCGCAGGCGGGCGUCUAAGUCAGCGGUGAAAGUUCCCGGCUCAACCGGGUCAGUGCCGAUGAUACUGGGGGUCUUGAAUGCGGUCGAGGCCGGCGGAAUGUGGCGUGUAGCGGUGAAAUGCAUAGAUAUGCCACAGAACACCGAUAGCGAAGGCAGCUGGCCGGGCCCGCAUUGACGCUGAGGCACGAAAGCGUGGGGAUCGAACAGGAUUAGAUACCCUGGUAGU
rnacentral:rRNA from 1 species